rfam:Arabidopsis lyrata subsp. lyrata unplaced genomic scaffold ARALYscaffold_2, whole genome shotgun sequence.
AUAGAUAGAUGUCGAAAUCUCUCCGUUGUAAAAUCAAACAUGAGUAUGAAUUUAACCAUGAAGGGAUAUUUUUGAUUCGUAUACUCAUGUUUGAUUUUACAAUAGAUAGAUAUCGACGCCUAUCUCU